ACCCCUUCAUGUCCAGAAUCCUAACAGGUGUCCUGCAUUUCCUCUUGGUCUGCGGUGUUACAGCCUGUGAAACAGAAUGGCCAGAACACAGGCCAAGAUCAGAGUCACCAGCAGAGCUGAUUUCCAGCCACUGAGGAUUACAGCUGUAAAGCAGACAGCCCCCCACUUGACCCUGGAAUUUGGUAGUGGAACACUAGCACAGCUACUGAGUCAUGGGACUUGGAUUACAUAAGACCUCCUGUUGGAAUUUUAAAAAAAAAUGUCAUGGUCAUGUUUUAUUCUGAUUCCUAUGUGUAAAGCUCAUGGCACAAAAUGCAAUCCCUGCAUUAUGGGCAGACACUGAGUUGUGGUAGAGCCCAGGAAGCAGAUUACUAGUUGCCCCAAAUGAGAGCCCUCAGUUAGCUUUGAUGACUGUGGCAAUGGAGAUGCUGGUGAUGCCGGUACUGUGCUGAGAUUCAUCAUGAAAUUGACAGGGGGUUUUGUUGGACAUAUACUAUCAGGCCCUAUACUGAGUGUUUCAUAAAUAUGAAAGCAUUUAAUCUUUAUAUAACUCUAUAAAUAGUUAUUGUUAUUAAUAGUUCUCUAGAAACGGAAAAAAUAAGUAACCUUCCCAAGGAUGCCAGUUCAUGAGAGGCGAGCUGGAAUUACUCAUGGCUCCACAAUGCCAGAGCCCACAUCCUAGCAGGGAUUGGAGGAAUCAGAGCAUGCCAGUAACCCCUGAUUCUGUACAUUGAACUGAGGCCAGGAGCCCAGGAAGAUGCCCUCCCAUGCUGGGUUUGCAAUCAUGCAGCUGCAGCUAGUUCCUAAU
rnacentral:lncRNA from 1 species